GACGUUAGCUGCAGAAGAAGCACCGGCUAACUCCGUGCCUAGCAGCCGCGGUAAUACGGAGGGUGCGAGCGUUAAUCGGAAUUACUGGGCGUAAAGCGCAUGCAGGUGGUUUGUUAAGUCAGAUGUGAAAGCCCGGGGCUCAACCUCGGAAUUGCAUUUGAAACUGGCAAACUAGAGUACUGUAGAGGGGGUAGAAUUUCAGGUGUAGCGGUGAAAUGCGUAGAGAUCUGAAGGAAUACCGGUGGCGAAGGCGGCCCCCUGGACAGAUACUGACACUCAGAUGCGAAAGCGUGGGGAGCAAACAGGAUUAGAUACCCUGUAG
rnacentral:rRNA from 1 species